UCAUACACAAAGCCGCGUGUUUACAUUAUAAGGUGUACGUCCGGAUGUUUACAAUAUUCCUUGGUGUCGUAAUUUAGCGCAUUUACGGUUGCACGCGCGGCGUCAAUCCGUUGCCCGGACAACAUAUCCUCGCACGUGCAGUUCGAUUCUUUUGUUUCAUCAUACCAAAGGAACAGCAGACGACAUUUUCAGAUUGUGUUCAGGUUAUUUCCGGACAGUCAAGGCUCCGAGUCGGUGAGGACUCUCUCCUUGGUGUACCUGGGCCCAGCGUAGUGAAGUACAUGUAGUACUGGACGGCGGUAUGGCUGACGAGUGUCAACCUGUUUGUAAAGAUAUCUCCAAUUCACCUUCAGACGAUAUCGAUGCACUCCGCCUGGCCCCCGGGAUAUGGGUGGUCAUAGUGUGUCUGUCUGUGUGUCUGCUAUUGAUGGUGCUCGUGCUCGCGUGCUCAAAGAACGUCUGCUCAGUCACAGAACUGAAGAC